GGCGCUUCAUACCCACCUAGAGGAGCCUGUUCUAUAACCGAUACCCCCCGUUCAACCUCACCUUCUCUUGUUCCUCCCGCCUAUAUACCGCCGUCGUCAGCCCACCCUGUGAAGGCCCAACAGUGAGCAUAAUUGGCACAGCCCAAAACGUCAGGCCGAGGUGUAGCGUAUGAGAAGGGAAGAAAUGGGCUACAAUUGCCAUACAGCUAACACGAAUUGUAAAACUGAAACACAGACAUGAAGGAGGAUUUAGGAGUAAGGGGUAAACAGAGUGUUCCCCUGAAACGGCCCUGAAGCGUGCACACACCGCCCGUCACUCUCCCCAAGCUAGAAUAUAUUACAGUAAUUAAAUCACCACUCCUACAAAGGGGAGACAAGUCGUAACAAGGUAAGUGUACCGGAAGGUGUACUUGGAAUAA
rnacentral:rRNA from 1 species